UAUUUGGAGCUUUUGGAGACUCCACAGGGUUAAUUGAAUACAAGACAAAGAAACUUAAUGAUGUGAGUCAGUAUAUCAGUGGUGAGGUGUGUGCAUGCAGGUGAUGUGGUGAAAUGAAGGUGGAGAAGCUGAAAGUAACUAACAAACGAAACAAAACCAACUGAAACAAACCAAGGUGGAGGAGAGAGAGAAAUAAUAAUUCCCAGCAUGUUUUUAUUUCUAUCUGAGUGUCUUGUGGUCUCAGCGUGGAGCUGCAGCAGUGAGCAGGAAACAGCUGCAGCUCUCUGACUCUGUGUGUUUGCAUACAUGUGUCCUCCUCUCUGCUUCCAGCCAUAAGAGGCUGCUGUCCAUCAGUGGCUGUCCAGGCCUUUCACACACACAUGAUGAUGUCACUGACUCUGCUGCUGGCCACCCUGGGGCUCCUUGUUCAGGCCUCAUCAGGAGAAAUUCUCCUGACUCAGUCUCCUGGAUCUCAGUCUGCUGUUCCAGGACAGACUGUCUCCAUCAGAUGUAAAGCCAGUUCAUAUGUUGGUGACUACCUCUCCUGGUACCUUCAGAAACCUGGAGAAGCUCCUAAACUCCUUAUUUUUAGUGCUUCAUACCGUCAGUCUGGAGUUUCAGAUCGUUUCAGUGGAAGUGGAUCUGGUACUGACUUCACUUUGACCAUCAGUGGAGUUCAGGCUGAAGAUUCAGGAGUUUACUACUGUCAGCACGGUUACGACACCCCGUUCACACAGUGAAAAAGCGUCGUACAAAAACCUCCCUCAGCUGCAGAGGAACUGAUCUGAAUCAACAGCUGCACACAAACUAAAAGUGUUUCUAAAGACACAAAUGUAGUCACUAAUAAUUCACUUUGAACAUCUUACUGAUAAAUAAGUUGCAUUUAACUCAAAAAGUUCAACAUUUAAGUCUUUUAUUGGAUUUGAAACAAUCAACUUCACGUCAGAAACAAACCUGUGAAGAAUGAUUUCAAUUCUUCAUUUAUGAAAACACAUGAACACUAAAACUGUAAAUAUUGUUUAUUCACAGAGCUUGUAACUCAGUGAUGUUUUAAUUAUAAACUUGUUUCAUUAGUUUAAGUCUGAAGCAGUUUGUAAACAGUUUGUGGGUUUAAAUCUGCUCAUCAUUUUAUUUCACUCUAUGCUGACGAUAUUCUGAUUAUUAUUCCAGAUGUGUGAAAUA